AAUCAGUCCAUGCAGCGAAGGAACUGAACAAUUGUGGGACCGUAUUUGGGCCGAAAAUGUGUGUGGUACGGAAACCCAGAAAUGGCAUGAGUUCAACAUAAAACAUGGAUUAGAAUUUUAGCGGGGGAUCAAGUAAAAUCUGGAAGUGUUACAAGAUGGAAGAGUGAGCCUACAGUUGAAAAACACUGAAAGUGCAUUACCAUUAAGGUAUGAGCUGCUUCUCUUGCUAAAGAACAACUUGUCCUUUACGUUCAGAGUGUUGGUGAAGCUGGGUACUUAAAUGGCUCUAAAGAUGUUUCACUUCGCUGGCAUUGCAGUGAUGAACAUCAUACAUGGACUUUUUAGGAAAGGAUUUUCAGCAUACUGGGAACACAACUAUCAACAAUGCAACAUUCUAGGGGUGUUAUUUUAUCAUUCAAGAGCCUUAUACAAUGAUUUUCAUCUGCAAUUUGUAUGGCCUUUCCCAAGCUUCUGCCAGAAGUUGAAUCUAUAAGUCAUGUAAGUCACAUGAGCAACAAUUGAGAUGCUUAAUGGUGUUUUUCUUUUCUCAGCAUAGGUUAAUAGUAACAUUGGAUCUGAAAAGAUUCUUGGUUGGGGCAAGACACUGAAUAAAUUGUAAUGAUUGAAUGGAUGACAUGACAUUUCUAUACUUAAUUUGGAUUCCCGAGACGGUAUUUUAUAUUUAAAAAAUUGAAGUGCAUAUCUGGGCUCCCUUCCUUUCCGUAGCCCCGUUUCCCCUUGACUCGUAAUAAGCCCGUAGGGGGUCAUGCCCCUACUGUACGGUAUAUAUAAAAACAACAUAUACCGAGGUUUGGAGGGCUCUGGCCGGAAAGGGGACGUGGGGGUCCGCUUAGUCCGAUGAUGUGUUCACGGAGGGCUACGUGGCUACACACAAAUCCGAACUAAAGGUUAAUCGCUCCUGUAAAAAUGUUCCAAAUCUUCAGCUCUUCUUCCGGCUUCUCUUAGCCAAUCACCGGGUAAUCUCCCCGGUGGGUC